GUAGGUGGCAAGCGUUGUCCGGAUUUAUUGGGUUUAAAGGGUGCGUAGGCGGCCCUGUAAGUCAGCGGUGAAAUAUCUCAGCUUAACUCGGAAAGGUCAACCGAAACUGUGCGACUAGAGUGCGGAAGGGGCAACUGGAAUUCUUGGUGUAGCGGUGAAAUGCGUAGAUAUCAAGAGGAACACCUGCGGCGAAGGCGGGUUGCUGGGCCGACACUGACGCUGAAGCGCGAAAGCCAGGGGAGCGAACGGGAUUAGAUACCCCGGUAGUCCUGGCCUUAAACGAUGAAUGCUUGGUGUCUGGGGUUAUAAAGUCCCCGGGUGCCGUCGCUAACGCUUUAAGCAUUCCGCCUGGGGAGUACGGUCGCAAGACUG
rnacentral:rRNA from 1 species